rnacentral:tRNA from 1 species
GGGAUUGUGGCUUAGCGGUAGAGCGCUCACCCAGCACGUGUGAGGCCCUGGGUUUAAUCCUCAGCACCCCA